CCUACGGGUGGCUGCAGUGGGGAAUAUUGGACAAUGGGCGAAAGCCUGAUCCAGCCAUGCCGCGUGUGUGAAGAAGGCCUUCGGGUUGUAAAGCACUUUCAGUGGGGAAGAAAGCCUUGGGGCUAAUACCCUCGAGGAAGGACAUCACCCACAGAAGAAGCACCGGCUAACUCCGUGCCAGCAGCCGCGGUAAUACGGAGGGUGCGAGCGUUAAUCGGAAUUACUGGGCGUAAAGCGCGCGUAGGCGGUUUGAUAAGCCGGUUGUGAAAGCCCCGGGCUCAACCUGGGAACGGCAUCCGGAACUGGCAGGAUAGAGUGCAGGAGAGGAAGGUAGAAUUCCCGGUGUAGCGGUGAAAUGCGUAGAGAUCGGGAGGAAUAACAGUGGCGAAGGCGGCCUUCUGGACUGACACUGACGCUGAGGUGCGAAAGCGUGGGUAGCAAACAGGAUUAGAUACCCCAGUAGUC
rnacentral:rRNA from 1 species